rnacentral:rRNA from 1 species
CACGUAGGGGGCAAGCGUUGUCCGGAUUUAUUGGGCGUAAAGAGCUCGUAGGCGGCUUAGUAAGUCGGGUGUGAAACCUCCAGGCUCAACCUGGAGACGCCACCCGAUACUGCUGUGGCUAGAGUCCGGUAGGGGAGCGUGGAAUUCCUGGUGUAGCGGUGAAAUGCGCAGAUAUCAGGAAGAACACCUAUGGCGAAGGCAGCACUCUGGGACGGUACUGACGCUGAGACGCGAAAGCGUGGGGAGCGAACAGG